ACCUGACCUCAGUAGGAGAAAACUGGAAGUGCCACGGCACCAAAGAUCCGCCCAAGAACUAGGGGACACAAUUGAGGCUUUCUGAAGUACCCUCGUAUUUCUGGGCACCACCCAGCUAAGCACUGUACCUAUUUGGGAUGAGCAAGAUACAGUUUGUGCCUCCAGGGAGCUCACAGCACUGGAAGAACAGAUCAGUCGGCCAGCACCUCUGUUCCCAGAGGCAGGGAUGGCCACUGGGUGGUUCCUGCAGCCCCAGCAGUCAACAUGGGCCCUGCACGCAGUAGGUGUUCAAGAAGCACUUGAGGAACUGCAUUUACUUGGAAUGAGAAACAGUUACGUCAGUGACCACCAAAUAAAGCAGACAGUAGAUGGCCAAAGUGAAGGGUCCUGCAGGGGCCACCAGGACCCAGGAUUGGGAGGAUGGACGAUCCCAAAGGGAGGCAGCUGCCAAUCACCUGGCACCUGCACGUGCCCGAUGCAGGGCUGUGUGCCCUCUGCAGACUCUCAUUAAAUUCCUAAAACCUUC